AACGAACGCUGGCGGCAGGCCUAACACAUGCAAGUCGAGCGCCCCGCAAGGGGAGCGGCGGACGGGUGAGUAACACGUGGGAAUUUUCCUCAAGGUACGGAACAACUCAGGGAAACUUGGGCUAAUACCGUAUGAUGCAGAGAUGCCAAAGAUUUAUCGCCUUGGGAUAAGCCCGCGUCAGAUUAGGUAGUUGGUGGGGUAAUGGCCUACCAAGCCUGUGAUCUGUAGCUGGUCUGAGAGGACGAUCAGCCACAUUGGGACUGAGACACGGCCCAAACUCCUACGGGAGGCAGCAGUGGGGAAUCUUGCGCAAUGGACGAAAGUCUGACGCAGCCAUGCCGCGUGAAUGAUGAAGGUCUUAGGAUUGUAAAGUUCUUUAGCCUGUGACGAUGAUGACGGUAACAGGAGAAUAAGCCCCGGCUAANUUNGUGCCAGCAGCCGCGGUAA
rnacentral:rRNA from 1 species